UCCCCAGUGGUGCAAUUGGUUAUGCGCGCGGUCUUACAGCAGUAUCGUGAGUAAUGCGAGGCUGUGAGUUCGAGCCUCACCUGGGAAG